CCCCCACUCCUCUCGCUCCCCUCACAAUCCCUCGCGCCGCCGCACACACAGAGGCGAGAUGCCUCGUGCUUGAACCCCCCUCACAGCCUCUCCUACCUUCGUUCGCUCCUGGCUCCGCCAAGCCGCGCCGCUGCCAUGCCUCGGUGCUAGCCUUCCAUGUCCCCUUGGCCCCGACGCCGCCCUCUGCCUCCAACCGCCGGCGCCUCGUCGUCCUUCGUGCGCCCACGCCCAAGGAAUCGCCGCCAACCAGAGAAACCUCGCUGUCGCCCGAAGCUGCCUCGCCGGACCGCUUCCUCACCGGAUCUCCUCCCCUCCGUCGCUCGUCCCCAUCCUCCUCCACGCUGGACGCCAUCGAGCCACGCCGCCCCCUUCCCUACAUCGAAUACGAUGGAGCCCAGGAGCCAGACGCCACCGUUGACGAUGAGUCCUACUACACUGGAGGUGCCUACUACUAUGUGCAGCCUGCUGAUGGCGACCAGGAGUAGUUAGGAGGAUCCCAGGCAGGAGGCCUGCGCCUCUUCCGAUCUGUAUCCCAGUUUGUGCUAGCCUUCUUAAGGCAAACUUGUUUAACUUAUGUCUGCACUCAAAUAUUGCUGCUUCCGCCGACUCGUUUAUGAUCGAGCUCUUGUAUUCGAGCCCUCGAUGCCCCUGGUUUGUAAUAUGAUGCUUGUAUGACUUAUUUUAUUUGUA